UUAGAGGAAUAGAUGUAGCACUGUAG
rnacentral:piRNA from 1 species